GUAACCUGCUUGUCACGUUUCCUACUUCCCUGAUAUGGAUUCCCUGGGUCUCCUCCCCUCCUUGUGUUUGAUGCUGGGACCAUCUGAACCCAUGCUGUCAUAGAGCAUCCUGGUUAGAGUCCCAGCUUGGCCACUCGGGUCUCACCUCCCCAUGGAUACAGAGUUCCCUCGGCCCCAUGGGCUGUAGUUCGUUGUAGGCCAACCAGAGUCUUCCCUUCAGGAGCUGGGGAGAAAGAUGCCCUCCCUAUCACGGUGCCUGGAAUGACUUGCUUGCGGCUGGAAGUUGGGCAGAACAGAGAUCUGGGAUGAGGUGACAGAGGCUGUCAGAGCAGGAACAGAUCCGGUCCACAGCUGGGGAGGUCCUGAUUCUCUUGAGCUCCCGUGGGAACGAGAAAACAUUGAGACGCAGAAAGCACCCAUCCCAAAGAAAAACCCAACGCAUCUUUCUCUUAACGAAGCCAUACAUUAGUGAGCCUUCGUGUCUGCCGUCUGGUACCAGAGAGAAAUGGAAAUUUUCAUCGUGGGCUGUAGUGGAAGAGCUCUUCCUAAGGUGCCCGGAUGAGCUGGGGCCCAGACACUUAGCCUCUGACCUGGUGCGGCCCUGCCGUGCAGCCACAGGACGAAAAGAGUUCCCUUAAGUAACUUUUAUGAUGACAGCGUCAUAAAUAUACAUCACAAAGGCUUUACGUGAAGGAAACACGCAAAAUUAAAGGUCCAUUUGGGGAGAACAGAAGCCUGCCCGUGCGUCUGUGUAAAUGCAGAAUCGGGCCUUCGCAGAAAUCCACAGCUGCUGCAGCGAAGCCGGGCAUUCCAGCCACUCAGCUUUUGCAGUGCUCAGGAGUUUUUUUUCCGGUUUCGUUGAGGGACCAGCUGCUCGCUGCUCUCAGCAAUGGGUGGGUAGAGGCGUCUUGAUUAAACAUGCCUCCCCGUCCUCCUCCUUGGAAACGUGGAAUCUUCAGCUAUGUGACUUCUGAGAGCUGAACCCCGUCGUGUUUGGGGUUCCCCGAAUUGAAUGUGAAUCCAGAACCAUCGCUGAAGGCCAGUGCUAAGGUGGAAGGUUAUCUGCUCCCUGGCCAGUUCUUGUGCCAUAUGUGACCCAAACACAGCCAAUAUUCUGAGAGUGAAGCAUGGAAAGUGAAUUACCUGUAAUGUCUUCCUGUCGAUGGGACAGUAUAUUCUAAAUGACUUUUUUUUUCAGAA